CCGGAGAAUCCUUUCUUGUUUGCACAAAACUCAAGCGGAGAAAUCUAAGAAGUCUCAGAAGAACAAGAAAAGGUCCUUCCACGUUGUAUGAUUCCCCAAAAAGCCGGCCCAGAACGGCCAAGCCCCUCACUACUCUCUCUCUCUCUCUCUCUCUCUCAUACUAGCCCAGAUGUCAUCUGUUUCUUUCUCCCCUUCUUUCCUUCUUCAUCAUGAUGUUAUGUUGAUCCCCAUUCUAUCUUAAGUUUUCGGAAACAAGGAAAUACUCGGACUAGACCGAGGCAGGCAUGGGCUGUGUUCAGACCAAGCCUCCAGAGAGCUCACAAUCUGGAGGCAUAGACAAGUUGAAACUAGAAAAUGGCUACGUUGGAAGAGAUAUUGGAUUUAUGGAUAAUCAUCGACGAUCAACAGGUCAAAGGGAUAUGCAUAGGGAGUCAGGUAGGCAGUUUAGGGCUGAGUCCAAAAAGCACAAUGCCCCUUAUGGUAAAGGGAAUAUUGGUGUAGCAGACGGUAGUACUAGAGGAGAAGGGAAGUUGAUUCAUGGAGAGGAAAUGAGAAAAGUUGGUGGCAGUAACGAUGGGAAUAAUAUUGUUUCACAGAGAAUGUCAUUUUUUAAGCCAAUUGAAGAGGCUGAGUUGGUGGAUGGAUGGCCAAAAUGGCUCAUGGAUAAUGUUCCAAGAGAGGUAUUGAUGGGGUUGGUUCCAAAGAGUGCUGAUUCCUAUGUUAUGCUUACUAAGGUGGGCCAGGGGACUUACAGCAAUGUGUAUAAAGCUCGAGAUAGAGAGAGCAACAAAAUCGUUGCUCUAAAGAAGGUCCGUUUCGACACAUCAGAACCUGAGAGUAUCAAGUUUAUGGCACGAGAAAUAAUGAUGUUACAGAAGUUGGAUCAUCCCAACAUAAUAAAACUACAAGGAUUGGCUACAUCAAGAUUGCAAUACAGUCUGUAUCUGGUUUUCGAUUUCAUGCGGACGGAUUUGGCAACAAUUAUCUCUCGCUCUGAAGGAAGACUUAAUGAAUCACAGGUCAAAUGCUACAUGCAUCAGCUGCUCUCAGGGCUGCAGCACUGCCAUGAUAGGGGGAUUUUACAUCGAGACAUUAAAGGAGCAAAUCUUUUGAUCGAUAAACAGGGGAUGCUAAAGAUUGCAGAUUUUGGGCUUGCAAAUUCUUACACUGGAAACCACAAUCUGCCUCUCACAAACCGAGUUGUGACACUUUGGUACAGAGCCCCUGAACUGUUAUUAGGAGCUACCCAUUAUGGUGUUGGUAUUGAUCUUUGGAGUGCUGGAUGCCUUUUGGCAGAAAUGUUUGCUGGACAUCCAAUUAUGCCUGCUAGAACAGAGGUCGAGCAAAUUCACAGGAUUUUUACACUAUGUGGCACACCAUCGGAGGAAUACUGGAAAAAGUUGAAACUGUCUUCAAAAUUCAAAAUUCCACAGUUCAGGCCUAGUAUUACAGAGGCUUUCAGCCAAUUUCCUGCAUCUUCUUUGGGUCUGUUGAACACUCUUCUAGCUCUGGACCCAGCAUAUAGGGGCUGUGCCUCUUUGGCUCUCCAAAAUGAAGUAAGUACGUAGUAGUUGGAAGAUUUUCAUUAUGAUCUGAAAUUUGUUAGAAAAAAAUAAAAUAAAAAGAAAUCGUGGCAAACAUGCUUGAAAGAUUAGUUAAGAAGUGCAUUCUAACAGGCAAAACAUUCUGCUUUUGCAGUUCUUUUACACUAGUCCGUUGGCAUGCAACCUUUCAGAUCUCCCUUUUGUCUACAACAAAGAAGAUGAACUGAAGGAAGCUAAUGAAGAGAGAAAGCACAGAAGUUCUAGAAUG